rnacentral:lncRNA from 1 species
UGGCGGUGCCAGGAGCAAGGAUUCAGUGGCUCAUUUUUUAAUGGGGAAUCUCUUCUUCCCCUUGAUCCUUACGCCUGUGCUAGGGUGGACCCCAUAGUUGCCUGUGGAUUGCUGUGGUGGAGCCUAGCAACUGCCCGGGGCUGGUGCCUAGAGGAUCACAGAUGCAGUUGCAAUGGGGUAACCAGGAACCCUGCAUGGAGGCUGAAACAACCAGAAAUGGAAGUUUUCUGCGAUGCCGUGCCACUGGUGUCCAGAAGUUUAAACCACCCCAACUCUUUUAGACUGGAGACUGCAGAGAACCCAGGAUGA